rnacentral:rRNA from 1 species
GACGAACGCUGGCGGCGUGCCUAAUACAUGCAAGUAGAACGCUGAAGGAGGAGCUUGCUUCUCUGGAUGAGUUGCGAACGGGUGAGUAACGCGUAGGUAACCUGCCUGGUAGCGGGGGAUAACUAUUGGAAACGAUAGCUAAUACCGCAUAAGAGUAGAUGUUGCAUGACAUUUGCUUAAAAGGUGCAAUUGCAUCACUACCAGAUGGACCUGCGUUGUAUUAGCUAGUUGGUGGGGUAACGGCUCACCAAGGCGACGAUACAUAGCCGACCUGAGAGGGUGAUCGGCCACACUGGGACUGAGACACGGCCCAGACUCCUACGGGAGGCAGCAGUAGGGAAUCUUCGGCAAUGGACGGAAGUCUGACCGAGCAACGCCGCGUGAGUGAAGAAGGUUUUCGGAUCGUAAAGCUCUGUUGUAAGAGAAGAACGAGUGUGAGAGUGGAAAGUUCACACUGCGACGGUAUCUUACCAGAAAGGGACGGCUAACUACGUGCCAGCAGCCGCGGUAAUACGUAGGUCCCGAGCGUUGUCCGGAUUUAUUGGGCGUAAAGCGAGCGCAGGCGGUUAGAUAAGUCUGAAGUUAAAGGCUGUGGCUUAACCAUAGUACGCUUUGGAAACUGUUUAACUUGAGUGCAAGAGGGGAGAGUGGAAUUCCAUGUGUAGCGGUGAAAUGCGUAGAUAUAUGGAGGAACACCGGUGGCGAAAGCGGCUCUCUGGCUUGUAACUGACGCUGAGGCUCGAAAGCGUGGGGAGCAAACAGG